rnacentral:lncRNA from 1 species
CUGGGAGGUCUGAUGUUAGGGAAAAAGAAGGAGGAAAGCAAGAUUAAAAAUCAUUCCUGGAAAUGCAAGAGAAAAUGUGCUGGAGUGGUGCUGUUAGUACCAGGGACACUGGACAAGAAAGAUAAGCAAGCCACUGCUGUCUGAUUCCUACAUAGCAGGUUAAAGUGUUGGAUUCAUAAUUCUCACUUCAGGAAGACUGAAAACCAGACUUUAUUCUGCUAGAUCCCAAGAUAUCAAGGAAGAGGAAAAGGGAAGAGCCCCAGGCACUAUUAAACCACAGCUACAAUCACUGCCAUUUGAAACUUCCCACCAAACAACUUUACUAUUCUGAUUUAAUUUCAACUCCCAGGGAGAGUUAGUAUUAAGAGGAAGUACCUAUCAUCCAUGAUAAUCCACCAGCUCUGGGGGUUUAGAAGGGAAAGGAUGGAGGUCUCAGUGCUUGAGGCUAGGCUGACAGCUGAGCAGGGCUCCAGCUCACCUUAAUCUCACUCCUGUGGAUGCCUGCACUAGGGGCCUGAGCAUUCUCCCAGAUCUCUGCAUAGGAGGCUGCCCUUAGGCAUUAUUAAGGUGUGAAAGCAGCAAGAAAGAGCAGAAUUAAACUGCUUUUCUCUAAUGUAUCCUUUUACAGCCCAGUGUAUUUUGCCCUAGGCUAGCCUUUUCUUCUCCUUUCACCCUCCACAUGCCAGUCCGAGACAGCCUUUCUUCUCACAGGAAUUAUUGUAUUAUUUCUUAAAUUCUUUUUUUCUUCUCCAUGGCUUUUCUAGAGGAAACCUAACAGUGUGGGUUUAUCAAUCAUUUUGACAAGACUCUGAAUUCCAC